rnacentral:lncRNA from 10 species
ACAUGCUUUGCCCAGCUCAGCCUACAUGCCCUCUCCCGAUGUCAGUUACCAGGCUUUGCUAAUAAAACGUCUCUCCCGGCUCUUCCAGAGAGCCAGCCGCAGAGUCUCUGCCGUCUCCCCGUGCGCUCAAGCACAAGCCCCCAACUAAAAGCCUUGUCUGGAAAAUCUGCUUGGUGCCAUAACAGAUUAUCUGGUGAGCCAGGUAGGAGCACAAGGAGUAAUUUCCCUCCCUGCAGGGGAGGCUUGUGAGCCUGCGAGCCGGAGGGAGGCCCCACUGAUUCAGCGCUGCCACCGCGACUGGCGAGUUUUCCUCUAGUCUCGCGACUGGACACUGGUCAGUAGAACCUGGACCUGCUGUAAGGCUGAAGAAGAAAAAGAAACCAUCCAAGCUGGCACUCGGUUUUGGGGAGUUCUCUUCACUGCUCACGCCGGCCCUCUUGUGUGACCUGUACUGUUGUGCUGUGUGGGGCUGGGAGCCAACUCUCUUUUCGUCGCCUGACACCUGUGCUUGCACCCUGCCCCUGGUCCUUUAAUAAGACAAGCAGACACAGGGGCUACAGUCAUGGGCAAUGCCCCAGGCAUCUUCCAAGACUCACACCUGGGAUGUAUCAUUUCUAAAUGGAAGGAAUCCAAAUCAGAUGGUUUAAAGAAAAAGAAACUCCAGCCUGGGAAACAUAGGAAGACUCCACCUCUACAAAAAACAGGAAAAAUGAGCCGGGUGUGGGGGUGCCUUCCUGGGGUCUCAGCUACUCAGAAGGCUAAAGUGAGGAUCGCUUAAGUCCAGGAGGUUGAGGCUGCAGUGAGUUGUGGUAAUACCAUAGCACUCCAACCUGGGCAAUGGAGUGAGACCCUGCCUCAAAAUCAAAUUUUUUUUUUAAUUAAAAAAAAAGAAACUGAUUUUCCUCUGUAAUACAACCUGCCCUAGUACACAUUAGAUCAAGAAAAAUGGCCAUGGGCAGAAGUGGAUCUCCUAGUUUUAACACUAUCUUACCGCCCGACCUAUUCUGUGAAUGGACAGAGAAAUGGGGAGAGAUACCUAGCUACAAGCUUUUAUGAAGUUAUGCUAGGACCCAGAGCUACUGGAUUCUUGUCAGGUGUGUGUGGCCCCUAUUUCCAGGUUCCUCCUGAAGGAACCUGAAGAAGCGGACCUCCACAGCCUCAGGCCCCGAGCACUCCCUCCCUACCCUAAGCAGGCCUCCUGGGGAGGGGAGCCCCUGUGCUGUCCCCAACAGCGCUCCAAUCGGACUCCAAACAGGCACCCUCUUUUGCUUCCCCACUGGCCCAGGGCUGUUUUCCCCUCAGAGAAAUGGAUGGAAACGGGGGAGUGACAAGGAUCCAAGUUCCUUUUUUUGGUGGUGGAUCUAGGACUAUGUAAAAAACACUUUGGUAGAUUUUCAGAGGAUCCUGGUAAGUUUAGAGAUGAAUUUGUUAAACUAAAUCUUGCCUUUUCAUUGACGUGGCAGGAUGUUAUGGUCACUUUGCAGUACUGAUGAAAAGCAACACAUAUUUGGAAAGGCUAAGGAAUAUGCCAAUAGCCAGGUGGUCACUAAAGACCAAUAUGCAGUCAUCUGUUUAGGGGGAGAUGCGGUCCCAGGCAUAGUCUCCACGUGAGUGAGACUAUGGAGAAAACCUAGAAAAAGCUAGAAUGAGCCACUUUGUCACCUGCCUGACUGAAGGAAGAAGGAAAUGUAUAGUAAAACCUGUACACUAUGACAGGGUCAAGAAAAUUACCCAGAGAAAGAAGGAGAUCCCAGUAGUCUUCCUCAAUCGAGUCCCUGAGGCCCUUGGGAAAUGCACCCAUGCAGACCCAGAGGCAGCAGAGGGGAAGCAUCGCGUGCCAUGCAUUUUAUCCUUCAGUCAGCUCCGGACAUUAGAAGGAAAUUACAGAAAAUUUGGAGGCCAGACCCCAGACCCUGCUGUUGACUUUGGCAGAGGCGGCUUUUAAGGUUUUCAAUAACGGACAGGACACAGAUGGCAGGUAAGAAGAGGAGACUGACCAAGACAGCACAGCUUCUGGCUGCCCUAAUUCAUCCACCAUCUCAGGGUGACCCUAGGAUUCUCAGGAGACCAACUAAUCGAAGACAGCCAACCUUGGAUGGAGCCAAUGUGCCUACUGCAGGAUGGAGGGGGUCACUGGAAGAGAGGCUGCCCUGACCUCCUUAAAACAGGACAGCCGGCAGGCAACCCUGGCCAGCCGCCACUCCUCACCAAGCUUUCAGAUGAGAUUGAUACACACCGCCUGACAGCACCCUGGCUCUGACUGCAGCACACUCCAUCGUCAUCACACCACGGAGCCUCAGGUCACCCUUGAUGUGGCAGUUCUAGGAACUGGCCUUAGGAAAUCUAACUAUGAAACCAAGGUUAUGGAGUAUCCCACCUCAGGAAGGAACACUGAACAACUGAUUGACAGUCUUCUUGCCGCCAGCCAGACCACCAAGUGGCCCAUUAACCAAGAGAACCAGCGCAACCAGAUACGCUGACCCGCAUCUCCUACCUCUCAUGUGCUUUGCCCAGCCCAGCCUGCAUACCUUACUCAUGAUGUCAAUUCCCAAGUUUCGCUAAUAAAAACAUCUCUGCAAGCCUCUUCAGGGAGCCAACAAG